UACGUAGGGGGCAAGCGUUGUCCGGAUUUAUUGGGCGUAAAGAGCGUGUAGGCGGCCUGACAGGUCUGCUGUGAAAACUCGAGGCUCAACCUCGAGAUGUCGGCGGAAACCGUCAGGCUAGAGUCCGGAAGAGGAGAGUGGAAUUCCUGGUGUAGCGGUGAAAUGCGCAGAUAUCAGGAAGAACACCUAUGGCGAAGGCAGCUCUCUGGGACGGUACUGACGCUGAGACGCGAAAGCGUGGGGAGCGAACAGG
rnacentral:rRNA from 1 species